rnacentral:misc_RNA from 1 species
AACGCACAUUGCGCCCUUUGGUAUUCCGAGGGGCAUGCCUGUUCGAGCGUCAUUAUGACCAAUCAAGCCUGGCUUGGUGUUGGGGUGCGCAUUUCUGCGGCCCCCGAAAUCAGUGGCAGUGCCUAUUUGGCUUCUAAGCGUAGUAAUUUCUCCUCGCUAUAGGGUCCUCGUAGAUGCUCGCCAAAAUCCCCCAACUAUUUACGGUUGACCUCGGAUCAGGUAGGGAUACCCGCUGAACUUAA